UGGCUCAGGUGGUAAGGUAUCUGCCUGCAAUGCAGGAGACCCAGGUUCAACUCCUGG
rfam:Ovis aries breed Texel chromosome 2, whole genome shotgun sequence.